GGCAGUGCGUUCUGCGCCGCAGUCCGUACCGAUACUGUAGCCGGCAGUCACCAGCGCGGAUAUGGAAGUGAGGAUCAAAUAAUCUGAACACCGUCGGAGUAAGAGACUGCGAGAACCAGCUACUGUGAAAGGAGUUGACAAAACACUACUCACUGCGAAAAAAAUUGCUUCUACUAUCCGCACAACAAAUCCCACGGAAAACGACACACUGGAAGUGACCUUUACUACUCUGGAGACUGUGGGCGAAAGUGUAAAGACAAACCAAGAAGUACAGGAACACUUUGACAAAACUGGAAAAAAAUUUCAGGUCAGUAGUCAGAGAUUCAGAAAUAUCAUGAAUGUUUUUGUGUUAAGGAAAUAGUAUGAGAAAUUGAUGUCUGAUCCGGACCAGGACUCCAUGGGUAAUUGAUA